GCUCCAGUGGCGCAAUUGGUCAGCGCGCAGUACUUAUAAUGCCGAGGUUGUGAGUUCAAGCCUCACCUGGAGCA